GAUGAACGCUGGCGGUAUGCCUUACACAUGCAAGUCGAACGGAAAUUAGCUUCGGUUAAUUUUAGUGGCGGACGGGUGAGUAACACGUGAGAAUUCGCCUUUAGGAGGGGGACAACGGAUGGAAACAUUCGCUAAAACCCCAUAUGCCCCUGGGUGAAACAGAGGAGAUAAGUAAUACUGACUCACCUCUGCCUGAAGAGAAGCUCGCGGCUGAUUAGCUAGUUGGUAGGGUAAAGGCCUACCAAGGCGACGAUCAGUAGCUGGUCUGAGAGGACGAUCAGCCACACUGGAACUGAGACACGGUCCAGACUCCUACGGGAGGCAGCAGUGAGGAAUUUUCUGCAAUGGGCGAAAGCCUGACAGAGCAAUACCGCGUGAGGGAUGAAGACUUACUGAGUUGUAAACCUCGGUACCUUAAGGAAGAAGAUCUGACGGUAC
rnacentral:rRNA from 1 species